rnacentral:pre_miRNA from 2 species
GGAAAUUUGGAAACUACCGUUGGAUCGAGAAAUGGACGUCCGAGAUUCGUCCACGUCACCAUGAGUUAAAAUUUAACUCCCAGAUUCACUCAUGAGUUAAAAUUUUACUGGAAGUUAAAUUUUAACUCAUGGUGACGUGGACGAAUCUCGGACGUUCAUUUCUCGAUCCAACGGUAGUUUCCAAGUUUCC